rnacentral:misc_RNA from 1 species
AAGUCGUAACAAGGUAUCCGUUGGUGAACCAGCGGAUGGAUCAUUACCUGAACCUUUAAGGUGAAAGCCUUUUGGUUUGGAUGGCUAGAAGUAGUCGUCCUCUGGUGUGGCUGGUGAAUCAGCCUGCCAGAACUUGUAGUGUGCAGUUUUGCACGCUUGAUGAGUGAAGGGAUUGCUGGAAGGGACUACAUACCUCGUAGUCCAGGCGAGAGCCUCUCAAUCCCCGAACCUGCCAUUGACUUGACUGAAGCGAUUGUCUUAAAAAUGACAACUGCUGGCCGUGGAUCACUUGGCUGACG